GGUCUUUCAUUGGCCGCGCCCGCGUCCUAUAUUGGUUAUACCGUCCGUCAGGGCGGCUACGGCAAUAAAUGACCGUCGCAAUAAACCAUUCGGACCCGGGGGCAGUACCCGGCGCCUCCACCCAAGCCCGUGGAAAAAAACGGGUUUCGGCGGGGGCGAGAUAGGAUCGACGAGGGCGUAAAGGGCGUGUUUUUGCUCGGUAUGGUUCCGCCGUUAUCGGGCCAUUGCAAUAGUUGCCAACGACAACUUUGCUCCGGUUGCUCAGGCCGCGUAACGCGGUUUGAAAUGCCGAUCUAAAGCCCUGAGGUCUUAGCAGCUUCAGGCGGGGUUCGGGGGCACCUGGCAACAGAAGCCCCCACU
rnacentral:tmRNA from 1 species